UACGAAGGGGGCUAGCGUUGCUCGGAAUCACUGGGCGUAAAGGGUGCGUAGGCGGGUCUUUAAGUCAGGGGUGAAAUCCUGGAGCUCAACUCCAGAACUGCCUUUGAUACUGAGGAUCUUGAGUUCGGGAGAGGUGAGUGGAACUGCGAGUGUAGAGGUGAAAUUCGUAGAUAUUCGGAAGAACACCAGUGGCGAAGGCGGCUCACUGGACGACUGUUGACGCUGAGGUACGAAAGCGUGGGGAGCAAACAGG
rnacentral:rRNA from 1 species